GACGAACGCUGGCGGCGUGCUUAACACAUGCAAGUCGAACGGAAAGGCCCUGCUUUUGUGGGGUGCUCGAGUGGCGAACGGGUGAGUAACACGUGAGUAACCUGCCCUUGACUUUGGGAUAACUUCAGGAAACUGGGGCUAAUACCGGAUAGGAGCUCCUGCUGCAUGGUGGGGGUUGGAAAGUUUCGGCGGUUGGGGAUGGACUCGCGGCUUAUCAGCUUGUUGGUGGGGUAGUGGCUUACCAAGGCUUUGACGGGUAGCCGGCCUGAGAGGGUGACCGGCCACAUUGGUACUGAGGUACGGCCCAGCCUCCUACGGGAGGCAGCAGUGGGGAAUAUUGCACAAUGGGCGGAAGCCUGAUGCAGCAACGCCGCGUGCGGAAUGACGGCCUUCGGGUUGUAAACCGCUUUCGCCUGUGACGAAGCGUGAGUGACGGUAAUGGGUAAAGAAGCACCGGCUAACUACGUG
rnacentral:rRNA from 1 species